CUACGGGAGGCUGCAGUGGGGAAUAUUGCGCAAUGGGGGCAACCCUGACGCAGCAACGCCGCGUGAUUGAAGAAGGCCUUCGGGUUGUAAAGAUCUUUAAUUGGAGACGAAAACAAUGACGGUACCUACAGAAUAAGCUCUGGCUAACUACGUGCCAGCAGCCGCGGCAAUACGGAGGGAGCAAGCGUUACCCGGAUUUAGUGGGUGUAAAGGGUGAGUAGGCGGGCUGGCAAGCUGGGAGUGAAAUCCCGGGGCUUAACCCCGGAACUGCUUUCAAAAAUGCUGGUCUUGAGUAUUGGAGAGGCAGGCGGAAUUCCGGGUGUAGCGGUGAAAUGCGUAGAUAUACGGAGGAACACCAGUGGCGAAGGCGGCCUGCUGGACAGUAACUGACGCUGAGGAGCGAAAGCGUGGGGAGCAAACAGGAUUAGAUACCCUGGUAGUC
rnacentral:rRNA from 1 species